UACGUAUGGUGCAAGCGUUAUCCGGAUUUACUGGGUGUAAAGGGAGCGUAGGCGGCGCGUUAAGUCUGAUGUGAAAACCCGAGGCUCAACCACGGGAGUGCAUUGGAAACUGGCGAGCUGGAGUGCCGGAGAGGUAAGCGGAAUUCCUAGUGUAGCGGUGAAAUGCGUAGAUAUAUGGAGGAACACCGGUGGCGAAAGCGGCUCUCUGGCCUGUAACUGACACUGAGGCUCGAAAGCGUGGGGAGCAAACAGG
rnacentral:rRNA from 1 species